rnacentral:lncRNA from 1 species
UAAGAAAUUAGGAAUAUCAUAAAAGUGUUUUUGUGUUAGGUACUUCAACGAGAAGGCAUGUGUACAUAUAAAAAACAACGAGAACAAAUGCAGAGGUCUCAUGACUUGCAUCCAGAUCAUGUUAAAACAAUAUAAAACAGAGAGAUCCAGAUCCAUGAGAAAAAAGUGCAAGCGAUAGUGACCUUCUCCAACUGUGAUUCAAUGUCCUUCGUGGCUUUUAAAAGUUCGACUGCUGUUCUUAAUCUCAUUUGGUCAGAAUAUGAGAUGGCAUUGUACUCAGCCUGAAAAUGAAAAUGCCAAAGUAAAUAACUUCAAUAAAUAUUUCAAUCAGCAGUGAUGUAUUGUUUCAUUUUCUAAACUAUUACUGGAAGGUCAUGGCAAACAAGGCAGAUUGCACGAGACUUACUAUUGCACAAACUAACCCAUGCAAGGUACAUAUUAUUAAAAUACUGCAGAGAAGAGAUGCAAACCACAAAAUGCACAUGGAUAAUAGGAUAUACGCUAGACGUUACAUUACAUUCGUGCAAAUCAAGUUGAAGAUAAUAACUUCGCCUCAGGAAACUAUGCAAGUAACUUACUACUUUCCUUUUCCUUGGAUCUCUAAAUGCCAAAUCCCCUAUAUCUUUCUGCGGAAAUAACUUCGCCUCAGGAAGAAGACAU